UAGGUGCAAAGGAUUCUGUGAAAAUUUCAGUGGGGUGAGAGGACCACCUAAAAGCCAGGGAUGGGCUGACCCUCAAGAGGAGGAAGGCUACCCAUGGGAGAGAUCUGAGAGUUCUCGGGGAAUCCUGAAGUUGGGGUCACUCUCGCCCCAGAAAAGGAAGCUGUUGUUUGGGGAUGGUGACUAAAAGUCCUCACAAUACACACGGAACUAAAAAUAUCUCUCUCCUUGGCACUGGGUCCUAACACUAUCAGCAGAGCCUGGCUUCAGUGUCUGUACACCACACAGGGUCCACUGCGAUGCCUUGGCUCAGGAUCUAACCUGCCCUUCUUGUCUUCCCCCUAUCAUUCCCACUUGUUUUAUACCAUGUCAAGAGUCAUGGCUUUAGCAUGUCUUUCUCAGCCUUUCCGCCAACCAUUCUAUGGAGGUUAGGGCUUCGGCUCUAUUCUCCUGUUACUGUCUGUACAACUUUAACAGGGCUGACUCUACUGGCUCUUACAGGCUCCCUUCGGUGAAUUCUGAUCACCACCAUGAUACUACCAGGAACACAGCAGCCUGAGUCUUGGAGAGACAAUGGAAGGUUCCAUCAUGCGCAGUAGGUACUUGAUUAGUUUUAAAAAGCCAAGGUUUCCAUUCUGAAAACAAAGUAAAGACUUCACUCUGAAGUUGGAAGGGAACGGUCAGAAAGCUGUUACUAUCGUGAAGUCCGGGCACCUUCUUGCUUCAGUAUAUACUCAGCCUUACUCUUGAGUCUACCUUGAAUACCUCAUGAACAGACGAAGACAUUGCAAAGCAUGAGGCAGGAGCCAAAGCUCUCGUUCGUAAGCAAGUCGACAGGAAGUUGGGCUAGGGGCAGAACAAGGUAAAGAAAAUAGAUCCUCUGUCAGGAAGAACGAGCUCAACACUCCGACUGGAAAUUUCCAGGUUUCCUUCUCUUUGACUCAUAGGAAUAGAGAAGAGGGAAGACUCCUGUCACUUGUCAGCAGACUUGACUUUCAGUAAACAGUUGGUGUCUAUGAAAAUCUAACUGUCUUGUUAAAGAGAGUGAUUUCUGCAUUUGGCAUUUGAAAGACUAUGGAGGAGGCUUGAGUGGCAUUCCCACCAUGUUUCCUGAGCACAGAGGACAGCUUUGCAAAGACACUGCUUGGAAGUGGACUGCGCAGGCUUCUUAGAUAUGUAGCCAUCUUCUGGGACCUGCCAGUCUUGGAGAGAGAGAAGAUCCAGAAUUCUAUAAGCCGCAAACACACUGUAUUAGAGCAGGCUGAGAUCAGAUGGCUGGGGAGAAAUACAGAUGGAUGGAGUUAAGUAUGGGCGAAAUCAACGUUUCCAGAUGCACAGGGUGGACUAAGGGUGCUGUUCUUUUUGAUGAAGAGCAAGGACAAGAAGCAUCUCUUGUGAAUCACUAGGCAGGUGUUUGCUCUCUGGGGAAGUGACAGGAAACUCAUCCCUGACCCGAGGUUACUGGGAGGAAAGAGCUUCUUUUGGUUUUGUUUCUCUGCUUGGUGUACAAGUCAGUGCCCUGUCUAGGGAAGAAGAACGCAGAUGAUCCUUGGAUGUCCCCAAGGGAAGAAUGACCACUCUAUUACAGAAUUAAGGUCAUCUAGAGAUCCUGUUUCCUAUUGCACAUGAAUAUGGAAUUUGGUAACAGAAUAAACAUGACAUUUGGAAUGUUCCUAGAGCAUACUUAGGGCAACUGGCAAGGCUGACAUAGCUUUUACUGAUCUGUCUGUUUAGUGAGUGGACAGGAUGCCAGUCUGGCAGUUUGCAUUGGCAAUAAAUCACUACUAGACAUUUUAUUUAAAAUCUGGCACUGGCUUUGGAGAGGUGAGGGAUUGUCAAUUUGUUUUUAUUUUGAGGCCAGGCACAAUCAUAACACAAACAGGCCACCUGGAAACUUUAGCACAUAUGUAAAAGUGUGGCCCUGGUCUGUGGCCAUUGCAUGCUUGGCAGGAGCAGGGAGAGGUAAAUGAGAGUAAGCACUGUUGACCAGGAAGACUCUGGCAGACCUGUGCAGCCCGAGGCAGCCCUGCUGGAAACCAUGCUGGAUCCGAAAGUGUGAUAUAGGAAGGCUAUCAUCAGCAUAAUAGAUGAGAUAAAAUUUGUUUUUCUGUUUUAUCAUGAGAUUCUCACAGAAUACAUUAGGAACACACAAGCAAUGCAUUCCAUCCGAGAGAGAGAGAGAGAGAGAGAGAGAGAGAGAGAGAGAGAGAGAGAGAGAGGUCACUCCAACAAUAAAGUUAAGUAUUGAGCUGGUUUGUUCCUGCCUUUGCCAUCCUCCACCUCAUGUCUUUUCUUCUUCUCUUCCUCUGGUUUUCUGCCUUUAUUUUUGUCUUGGAUUGCCCCUUUUUUAAAGGAUAAAUUGUGAUCAAUGUCUCGCAGUUUUGAGUGAAAAAAUAUUUCACGGUAGGCACUGGAAAUGUUCUUCGGUGUAGAGUUACUGCCUAGCAAGCAUGAAAUUUAGCUUCAAUCAUAGUGCUCACACACAUGCAUACACAUGUGCGAGAAUGCAUACACACUUAUGUGCACAUGCAUGCAUACGCAAGGAGAAGUUUAGACUCUUACAGCUACUGCAGUGGCAGAAGUUAGGGCUCCUUUUCCACUCUCAGCAAUUGUGAGAUUUUCUGAAUAUUGUGUAAGGCUGAAUAGUAUCACUGUGUAGCUUUUUUAGUUUUUUCAUUGUGAACAUAUGAGCUACUCCCCCUGCCCCCUAGGAAAAUCAUAUUUCAAGUACACCGACUUACUAAGACACCAGUCUUCUUGUCUUCAUUUGCAUGUAAUAUUUACAAACCUUAAUUAGUCUCCACCUUGUUACUGUGCAAACUCUUAGGAUCACUUAGAUAUAGCUUUGUGAAUAGCUUCAUUUGUUCAUUUAUUAGAAAUAUAUAAUUUACUCAUUAAGCUACAAAUAUUUAAAUGACCCCGACUUGGCUUUCAAAGAGCAUUUCACCUCUUUUCCUUGAUUUUAUAUGUAUAGUUUUCAUAAUAGUAUAUAGCUAAAAGUAGGAAAAAUAUAGACUGGUAUCUUCUUGGUAAAAUCAUUUGAAGUGAUGUAAUGGUCAAAUGCAAAGGAAGGCACCAUUUUAAUGCUGUACUGAAGACACUCCUGGUAUUCAGGACAUUUGUACCUAAAGAUACCUGGUAUUAAAUACUCAGAAAAACUGUCGAAAUUAGAUUUAUGACCUCAAGGACUUUUCUUUGUUUCGAUAAAUGUAGUAUUAGACUGUUUACAAAACGUUCUCAAAAGUUUUCUUAUGAAUGUAAUAGGGAGUCUGUUGCUACAAUGUCCCAUGACUAAGCCAUGACUUAGUUGGUUGAAGACAUUCAUAAAAGGAUACGAAGAAAAGCAGAAAAUGAGAGCCAGCCUCAGUGAAGCCACUUAAAAACACCACAGUUCUGGUAGUUUGAACAUAUCCAAUGGCUGCUUUGAGUGUCAACUCAGCAAAUCUGUGCCCCGAAAGAUCAAGUUGGGGUGUGUAGGUAAUGACACAGAUCCCUAUAUUUAGGAUCCCGGGAGCUCUGAGAGAUACAGUCACUUAUUGGGCAUUUGCAUUUCUAUCUGACUGCCCACAGGUAACAGUGGCAAACAGACUUCCAUCCUGGUACCUGUUUGCAGCAUUUUUUUUUUUUUUGAUUCAAUAUACACAUGAAUUUGGAUUGCAGUUUUCUGAUCUGGGUGUCUUCUAUCUAUUUUAAGGGCAUACAUACAUCUCCAUGUGUAUGUGUUUACAGGGCUCUCGGGUUUAGAAUGUUAAGCUUUAUGUAUUUAAUUAAUUCAUUAAUUAAUUUCUCCUAUGCUAUGGUUGUUACAGAGCACAAAUUAUUUGUGUGUGUUAAUUAGAGUGUAAUUUUAAAUUAAUUAAAUUUGUGGAUUCAAAAUAUUAAAA